rnacentral:lncRNA from 10 species
UCAGCCUCCCAAAGUGCUGAGAUUACAAGCGUGAGCCACCGUGCCUGGCCGCAGUUACUAUUUCUUUUGUGAUUGAUAUAUAUGAAUAUUGUGCAAUGAAAUUCCCUCCCAAUUGAAUUAUCUUUCCCUAAAAAUAAACCCAAGCUUUCUGGAACAUAUUGAAUUUCCUAUUUAACAAGUUUUAAGGAUAUCUUAGGUGUUUCUGGGAUUAGUAUUUAUUUUCAGGAUCUUUUGCAUUUACUUGUGAGAAAUGGCAUUGAGAUAAAAAUGUGUGGGCUCAAGGUGGUCAUGGUUAUUUCUACGGAGUCAAUUCACAAUCUCUAGACCUGUCCGGUGGAAAAUAACAGAAAUAUAUGUGCUUAAAAUAAAAUAUACCAUGAUGCAAUGUUGAUUGUUCCAAAAAUUAUAGUUUUUAAAAAUUCUUCAAGUUAGCAUUUGUACUGUGCUGAAGGCCUUGUUACCAAUUGUAUUGUAG